rnacentral:rRNA from 1 species
AUGAACACCAUGCUGUCAGAAAAUGCUGAAAGGAAGCCACGUGUGCUUCAUAACCUGCAAAAGCAGCUAGAUGAGGCUGUCCUCGAUAUGCAACUCUAUGAGAAAGCUCUAGAUGUGUUUGAGGAUGAUCCUGCUACCGCUGGCAUAUUACACGAUCAUCUGCUAAGAACUAUGGCUACUCCAGUAGUCAACAAGAUUUUAUUUAGUCUGGACAAGGACAACAAAUUGAAGAAUGGAAUGGAGUUUGAAGACAGCGAAGAACAGGAUGUUCAGCUGAGCAGUACUGAGCGUACUUUUCUGGCAAAGAAUCUUCCAGGGCAAUUGUCAUCGAAGGCUCAAGCUUUAAUAGAAGCAGUGGAGGGAAAGCGGUUUGAUUCAUUUAUGGACGCCUUAAGAGAUGCAGCAGAGGAAAGUGGCUUGUUAUUUAAGAAGCUUGAUGAAGGACUAGAGCGAUCAAUGCUGCGUUCCUACCACAAGGAUUUGACAGCACAAGUUUCUUCAGAGACUGAUCCAGUGUCCUUCCUCCCAAAAGUUGUUGCUCUGCUUUUUCUCCAGGCAUACAACAAGGCUCUUCAGGCACCUGAAAGUGCUGUUCGUGCUGUCAUCACACUACUGAAGGACAAGCUACCAGCUUCAACCUUCAAGGUUUUAACUGAAUAUCACGGCACCACCGUGAAACUUCUCGCACUACAAGAUGCUGCUACUGGUGAUGAAGAUGAUUGCACAUCGGACCGAAUGCUGGAGAAGCAGGAAGACCUGGAAGAGAGGCUGAUGCCAGAACUAAAAUCCCUGGCCCUGGGCACAGGCAAAAAGUGA